rnacentral:rRNA from 1 species
CGCCCAUUAAAGCGGUACGCGAGCUGGGUUCAGAACGUCGUGAGACAGUUCGGUCCCUAUCCGGCGCAGGCGCAGGAACUUUGAGGGGAGCCGUCCUCAGUACGAGAGGACCGGGACGGACGGACCGCCGGUGCACCUGCUGGCCCGCCAGGGCCACGGCAGGGUGGCCGAGUCCGGAAGGGAUAAACGCUGAAGGCAUCUAAGCGUGAAGCCCCCCCCGAGAUGGGAGUUCCCUUGAGCAAGGCCCCUCGGAGACGACGAGGUGGAUAGGCCCGGGGUGGAAGCGCAGCGAUGCGCGGAGCUGACGGGUACUAAUAGGCCGGGAGCUUGACCCG